rnacentral:rRNA from 1 species
AUACGGAGGGUGCAGGCGUUGUUCGGAAUUACUGGGCGUAAAGCGCGCGUAGGCGGUCUGUUAUGUCAGAUGUGAAAGUCCUCGGCUCAACCGGGGAAGUGCAUUUGAAACUGGCAGACUUGAGUACUGGAGGGGGUGGUGGAAUUCCCGGUGUAGAGGUGAAAUUCGUAGAUAUCGGGAGGAAUACCGGUGGCGAAGGCGACCACCUGGCCAGAUACUGACGCUGAGGUGCGAAAGCGUGGGGAGCAAACAGGAUUAGAAACCCGGGUAGUCC